AACGAACGCUGGCGGCAUGCCUAACACAUGCAAGUCGAACGAGACCUUCGGGUCUAGUGGCGCACGGGUGCGUCACGCGUGGGAACCUGCCCUUAGGUUCGGAAUAACUCCCCGAAAGGGGUGCUAAUACCGGAUAAUGUCUUCGGACCAAAGAUUUAUCGCCUUUGGAUGGGCCGGCGUUGGAUUAGCUAGUUGGUAGGGUAAAAGCCUACCAAGGCGACGAUCCAUAGCUGGUCUGAGAGGAUGAUCAGCCACACUGGGACUGAGACACGGCCCAGACUCCUACGGGAGGCAGCAGUGGGGAAUAUUGGACAAUGGGCGAAAGCCUGAUCCAGCAAUGCCGCGUGAGUGAUGAAGGCCUUAGGGUUGUAAAGCUCUUUUACCCGGGAUGAUAAUGACAGUACCGGGAGAAUAAGCUCCGGCUAACUCCGUG
rnacentral:rRNA from 1 species